rnacentral:tRNA from 1 species
GGCACCGUGUCAGAGUGGUCCAAGGAGUGUGACUUAAGUUCUUAUCUGUGUAUGCAGGCAGGGGUUCCAAUCCCCUCGGUGUCA